AGAAGGAGGGAUGGGGACCCAGAGAGAGAAAAGAUUCCCGCCUUGUGCCAAAGCUAUAUAAGAAGGUGGAACAGAACAAAGGAGGUUUCACUCAUGAGAAAUCCCUAAUUAAAACCUGAACUGGAGCUAACAAGACCUGUACCAGGGAAAAGGAUUGGGCCCAGACUAGGAAGGAGUCCAGUCUGUGAAAGAAGCGUAUUAGAACAUCUCUGAGGGGGCUCCUGAGUGCUUGAGUGGAAAAGCCGCACCUGUGGAGAUGACGAGAGCGUUCCUGAGUCUAGGAGUAGACCAUCUCACUUUGACCUCAUAAGCAGAGAGCGGAAGGAAGGAAAGGUUUUCUCGUGAUAAGAGCAGGAGGGUGCACUACGGACUACUGAUGGGUCAAAACAGGAAACAUUUAGCUGAACCAUCCCAUCCUCUCUUUACGACAUCCCUCUCAAAUGUCCUUCAUUUUGAGCUCAGUUGUCACUUGGGAAACAAAUCUCAUAAAAAGAAACCGAGAUGUUGGAAGAAUCAUUGGGUACCCACACACGCCUCCCCAGUCCACUGAUGUUGCUACCCCCUGAGAGUACUGAGUCCAUCCCCAAAGAUGUUUUUUCAUCAGUGGCUGUGAGCGCCAUGAAGGAAAUGGUGGAAGGAGGGAGACGCUUUUGAAGCUACGUUGAGGCUGCCACAACAUUGGAGUGGCAUUGACCUGAAUCCAGGAAUCUUGCUCACUUCAUUAACUGGAUACUACAGAAUACUACAAUGGGAGUGUUGAAGCAACUGCUCUACUAGACCUCACUUGACUUUGCAUUACACAGCAGGUAUUUUCUGUGCCUGUAUAGCUUCCCCUAGAUCUCUGGUACUCUGCUAACAACUAUGGUAUUAUCUUUUCUCUUGGCCUCUGUGAAUAUAGCAAAGCGGUAGCACAUUAACGCAUAGUCAGACACCACAGGAAUAUUCUUAUGAACAGCAGCCUUGCCAAAUUAAGCACAUAGGCCUGACCCAAUUCCUAUGGACCAUCCAGUCCACUAUCUUACCUCUAACCGAGGCCAGUGCUAGAGGCUUAAGAGGAAGAUGCAAGAAACCUUGCAGUGGGCAGAUGUGGUGUAAUUAGCCCUCCUGCCCCUGAAGGUCUCAUUCUAAUCCCCAACAGUUAGAGAUUGGCUCAGACCCCACAACACAAGGUUUUACAUAAUUUAUAGUGUACAAAGAGUAACAUUACCAGAGCAUUAUUUAGGUUGCAAAGAGAAACAUUCGGAAGUUAGGGAAUACCAGGUUUACAGUUGUCCAUGCAGCCUUAAUUCUGGCCUCUUGUGUCUCCAUCCUGUGCACUGAAUAAGGCCGGGAACCUGUGGAAAAAUAGUAUGUCAUCAUGUACACUAAGACUGUACCGUAUUGCACACCAGCAAAGGGAAGCACAAGUAUUGAGGCCAAUUGGGAGCUAUGGACACUACAAAUGGCUCAGUCUUUGGCAGAGGGGAAGGAGGGGGAAACUGAUGUUAGCAGGAUAACCAAAGGCCCUUAGAGGCUGGAUGCCACGCCAGGUUAUACAAUGCUUUGUUGUUGUUAAUGCCCUCCUGAAAGGGCCUUUCUUUACGCUUUGUUUUUAAACAUUGUUUAAAACCUUUAGAACUUAAACUCCCAGCAAUAAAUACUUAGACAAAC